AGCCGAGACAUCGCGUUUGUAACGAGACAACUAUUUGUUCAACUUGAAAAGCGUUCGCUCUAUUCUUGUUCCUGUUGAACAGUCAAGCCUUUACAACGUGAUGGUGGAUUAAAAUAUUUGCACAUGAACAGUGCCUGUGCAUUCGGUGGAGAGCAGAUACGGAUAACUCUGGCGCGAACAAUGGGGCAGCCCAGAUAGUCCUAUGAGGUACAUGCGUGGGUAAUGACAAAGUACAAUAGAUUUUUUUUUUCCUCUACUAGCCAGCUUCCGAUUUAGAUAUGGAUGCUUUUUAGAUUGCAUUAACAUUCUAAUAUUAAAAGGUUAGUGAUUCCCCGGGUAGCUGGAUGAAGUUAAUCGGGUCUGAUUCUUAAUUUGUGGUGUACCGAAAUACUUGGAAUAUAACGUUGAGAGAUAGAUCGCACCGUCGCUUACCUGAAACGAGUUGUCGCAAUGGUGGACAUUUUGGAACGUUUUCACGGAUUUGUUUUAGUUUUAUUGCAGCGACUAAGUACGCCUAAAUGAAAAUGCAAUUCAGAAAGAAAUUUUUAAACCUUGUGACAGGUGUUUACGCACGCAACGCUCCGGUUAAACUGAACGAUUCUGAAAAACGUAAAUCCACCACAGAGGUGAGAAGAGCUCGUACCUUCAUCCGACAGCUAUGAUUUUCCAGAAGAAGACGAUCGGAUUAGAAGGUGUACGAAUGAAAGGUGCCAGCCCAAAUGACAAUGAAAAAUAAAAUACAUUUACGGAUUCACCAAUCGAUAUCACACGAUUGCAACAUGGAAAAAACACCUUUCUAAAGUUAGGUUUUGAUAGGUUCGAUGAAAAUAAAGUUGCGUCAUGGAUCGAUAGUGAAACUGCGAUUCCGAUUCGGAUUAGAAGAAACCGUUGAAUCAUAUGUCUACUGUGUCAUUGGAGUCGCAGCAAGUGCGAUAUUUCGUCCGCGUUCGUUGGAGCAGCUUCUUCAACAGCAAUUGGGACAUCGGAAAUAGUUGAAGCUUCGAGUAUAACCCUUACAUCCGCUACGCAAGUAAUUAGAAAUUUGCAGACGCGGCAACAAAGGAUUCUUCUUGCAACAAGAAAGGCUUAGUGAAGAAACCAUUUUUUCUGCAGAUAAGGCGCCGUGUUCCCUGAUGAUUUUCGAUCUUCCUCGUAUUUCCUUGGCAAUUGCUUUAUUGGUGAAUGUUUGAGUCCAAGUUUUGCAAGUGCUAGGUGGAUCGUGUGCAGCUGGAUAAGCGUACCAAAUCCUCGAGUGGCAAGCGGUUUGAUGCUGGUCGUGAUGAAUUAUCUUUUGUGUUGUUCCAUUGUGGCGCUGGCUGGCGAUUGAUUGCGAGAACGGACUUGUAUGGAGGCGUAAGACAAAAGCUUUUUGGAUAACCUUAAACUUUGAAUGAAACGGUGGGCGGUUUGUUAGCCGUAUCUUGGAUUUUUUUUUUUUUUGUGAAAUUUUAUGGUUAACAUUUCUUACCUUGCGAUGUUCUUGUAAACAUGUUGCGAGGGCAAUGGCUGUACCCUCAGAAGGACGCAUCCGGGUAAUUUUCAUCAGGACAAUAACAAAAAAUUUAGGCUAUGAUGGGGUAAAUAAGGUGAAUGGUAAGUAAACAUCUAUUAAACAAAAUGAUGAAACAUUUCGUUUGGCAUGCUUUUGAGUAAUUAUUUGCAUGAUCGAAUAUGACUUUAAAAAGAUGCUCUAAGCUUGAAGUAAAAUCAUUGAAAUUGCCCAACUUUUUUUGCUGACAAUCAAAUCCUAGAAAUAUUACCUUGCAGAGCUGAACCAACAACAUAAGGCCCACUAGAAGGUGGAGUUCCUAGGAGGUUAUUCAGAUACUUGCAAAUAUUUUCAUUUGUUGCCACGAUGUAAAUCUGAAUAGAAGAAAAGUAAGGUAAAAUACAUGAAGGGUAGCUUUAUGGUAAAGCUAUGAUAUAGAUCUUUGAAAGUUUAUGGUAUGUUGUGAAUGGCGCUGCAGAUUCAUCAGCCUCUAGCGUUUGAAAUGGAACUAUUGUUAUUUUUUGUUGUCAUGUGGUUCUCAUUGUUUUCUUUGUUUUUACAUACGUUUUACAACGUGUAUUUGAGUUUCCCUCGUCUGAACGGUAUCGUUAUUUUUGUUUUUUGUGUUGUUUUUACCCCCACCCCUAUUAUCGAUGUGCAAAUAUUGUACUGCUUCAUUACCUAAACGAAAUGUCACAUGUGAUUUGAAGUGGUAUACAGGUCUUACCUGGAAACUGAACUUUAAGAACUUUGAAA